rnacentral:ncRNA from 1 species
CGACAGCAGGACGGUGGCCAUGGAAGUCGGCAUCCGCUAAGGAGUGUGUAACAACUCACCUGCCGAAUUGACCAGCCCUGAAAAUGGAUGGCGCUGGAGCGUCGGGCCUACACCGGGCCGUCAUCGCAAGUCUGGAUUGGUGGCUGUGCGCUGUUUGCGUCAUGGUCCAGGCGUGGAGUGCGAUGCUGAGUAGGAGGGUCGCCGUGGUGAGCGUGGAAGCCGCAGACGUGAGUCGUGGUGGAGCCGCCACGGGUGCAGAUCUUGGUGGUAGUAGCAAGUAUUCAAGUGAGAACCUUGAGGGCCGAGGUGGAGAAGGGUUCCAUGGGAACAGCAGUUGGCCAUGGGUCAGGCGGUCCUAAGCGAUCCGGUGACUCGGUGCAGAGUCGUGGGGUGCCUUGCAUGAGUGCGUGCGUGCGCGCAUAGGCGUGGUGUUGUAUGUUGGCAGCCCCCCGGAGCGAAAGGGAAUCGGGUUAACAUUCUCGACCCUGCUCACGGAGAUGGGUGGUGUCGGUCGGUCGGUCGGUCGUUCGUUCGACACGGGCGGCACCAUCGGGCGCGGUGACGCAAACGAACUCGGAGACGUCGGCAGGAGUUCCGGGGAGAGUUCUCUUUUCUUUGUAAGGACGGUUAUUGCCCCUGGAAUCGGGUUGUCCGGAGAUAGGGGUAUCACCUCCGUAAAGCACCACCUCUCCUGUGGUGUCCGGAAGGCUCUUGUAGGCCCUUGAAAAUCCGAGGGAGGCGGUGUUAUUUUCGUGGCAGGCCGUACCCAUAUCCGCAUCAGGUCUCCAAGGUGAAGAGCCUCUGGCACUGGAAUAAUGUAGGUAAGGGAAGUCGGCAUACUUGAUCCGUAACCUCGGGAAAAGGAUUGGCUCUGAGGGCUGAGUCAAACAGGCUGGGGAAAGAGACGGACUCGCUCAGCUUGCAACUGGCCGGUGGGCUGGCAGGCUAGCUGUUGAGCCACACACCGUGUGGGGUAUGCAGUUGCACUCGCCCGCCUGGUGGCUGGAGGUGAGUAGGGUGAACCGUGGGCGGACCCAGCUGCACGUGCGCCUCGGCUGAUUGGUCGGUUGGUGGGUGGUUGACGCUGCUGCUGCUGCUGCUGCUGCCUGUCGGCGUGUAGAGCAGUGCGCGGCGUUGCUACCACGGCUGUCUGUCUGGCUGGCUGGCUGGCCGGCCGGCCGGCAUCGUCGAGUCGGGGCGUGCUUGUUUGACGCCAAACAGCCAACUCAGAACUGGCACGGACGUGGGGGAUCCGACUGUCUAAUUAAAACAAAGCAUUGCGAUGUCUGCUGAUCGGUUUUGACGCAAUGUGAUUUCUGCCCAGUGCUCUGAAUGUCAAAGUGAAGAAAUUCAACCAAGCGCGGGUAAACGGCGGGAGUAACUAUGACUCUCUUAAGGUAGCCAAAUGCCUCGUCAUCUAAUUAGUGACGCGCAUGAAUGGAUUAACGAGAUCCCUACUGUCCCUAUCUACUAUCUAGCGAAACCACAGCCCAGGGAACGGGCUUGG